AUUGAACGCUGGCGGCAGGCCUAACACAUGCAAGUCGAGCGAGUGGCGGACGGGUGAGUAAUGUAUGGGGAUCUGCCCGAUAGAGGGGGAUAACUACUGGAAACGGUGGCUAAUACCGCAUACUAUCGGAUGAACCCAUAUGGGAUUAGCUAGUAGGUGGGGUAAAGGCUCACCUAGGCGACGAUCGCUAGCUGGUCUGAGAGGAUGACCAGCCACACUGGAACUGAGACACGGCCCAGACUCCUACGGGAGGCAGCAGUGGGGAAUAUUGCACAAUUGGCGCAAGCCUGAUGCAGCCAUGCCGCGUGUAUGAAGAAGGCCUUAGGGUUGGAAAGUACUUUCAGCGAGGAGGCGUUACCCGCAGAAGAAGCACCGGCUAACUCCGUGCCAGCAGCCGCGGUAAUUC
rnacentral:rRNA from 1 species